UAUUAUGAGAGUUUGAUCCUGGCUCAGGACGAACGCUGGCGGCGUGCCUAAUACAUGCAAGUCGAACGCUUCUUUUUCCACCGGAGCUUGCUCCACCGGAAAAAGAGGAGUGGCGAACGGGUGAGUAACACGUGGGUAACCUGCCCAUCAGAAGGGGAUAACACUUGGAAACAGGUGCUAAUACCGUAUAACAAUCGAUACCGCAUGGUUUUGAUUUGAAAGGCGCUUUACGGUGCCGCUGAUGGAUGGACCCGCGGUGCAUUAGCUAGUUGGUGAGGUAACGGCUCACCAAGGCCACGAUGCAUAGCCGACCUGAGAGGGUGAUCGGCCACAUUGGGACUGAGACACGGCCCAAACUCCUACGGGAGGCAGCAGUAGGGAAUCUUCGGCAAUGGACGAAAGUCUGACCGAGCAACGCCGCGUGAGUGAAGAAGGUUUUCGGAUCGUAAAACUCUGUUGUUAGAGAAGAACAAGGAUGAGAGUAACUGUUCAUCCCUUGACGGUAUCUAACCAGAAAGCCACGGCUAACUACGUGCCAGCAGCCGCGGUAAUACGUAGGUGGCAAGCGUUGUCCGGAUUUAUUGGGCGUAAAGCGAGCGCAGGCGGUUUCUUAAGUCUGAUGUGAAAGCCCCCGGCUCAACCGGGGAGGGUCAUUGGAA
rnacentral:ncRNA from 1 species